rnacentral:rRNA from 1 species
GUAUCUAAAAAAGUUUGUUUUGCUUAUUAAUAAAGACAGCUAAAUGGCCGCGGUAACACUAACUGUGAAAAUGUAGCGUAAUCAAUUGUUAAUUAAUUGUUGACCGGUAUGAAUGGUGUCACGAAAGUUUCUCUGUCUUAAAAAAAUACUUAAUGAAAUUGAAUUUGUAGUGAAGAUGCUACAUUAAAAUUGUAAGACGAGAAGUCCCCAUGGAGCUUUACUGAGGGCUUAGAAUUUUAUAUAAGCGGGACAGUUUUGUUGGGGCGACAGUUUUUUAAAAAGUAACAAAAACGAACUAUGGCUUAGCUUCACCCUGAAAAAUUUUUUAAGGGACAUUUUGGUGUGUUUUAUGAUCCGUUGAGUGGAAUGAAAAAAACAACGAAACCACAGGCCACUUACCCUGGGGAU